rnacentral:rRNA from 1 species
AUAGCGUAUAUUAAAGUUGUUGCAGUUAAAAAGCUCGUAGUUGAACCUUGGGCCUGGCUGGCCGGUCCGCCUCACCGCGUGCACUGGUCCGGCCGGGUCUUUCCUUCUGGGGAGCCGCAUGCCCUUCACUGGGUGUGUCGGGGAACCAGGACUUUUACUUUGAAAAAAUUAGAGUGUUCAAAGCAGGCCUAUGCUCGAAUACAUUAGCAUGGAAUAAUAGAAUAGGACGUGUGGUUCUAUUUUGUUGGUUUCUAGGACCACCGUAAUGAUUAAUAGGGAUAGUCGGGGGCAUCAGUAUUCAAUUGUCAGAGGUGAAAUUCUUGGAUUUAUUGAAGACUAACUACUG